rnacentral:lncRNA from 1 species
UUACAUACAUACUCUCCAAAAGUUGUUAAUAUCAAAAAUGCCUCUCAAAUUUAGUAAAAUUAUCAAAACUAUCCAUAUUAUCUGUAUUUCAAAAAAUAAUGUGGCUAAAAUGCCCAUUUUAUUUCUCUCAUUCUUACCACUAUUGUAAUGCAUAUUUUAUUAUCAAGAUAAUAUGUGUUUAUUAUAAGUAUUAUUCUAGUUUAAUUUAAUUACUUAUGUGGUUUCGCAUUUUCUCACUUUAGUAACUUGUGCUUUAAAAUGUAUUACUUUCGUACCUAUAGUUUUAUUUUUCUCUCUUUAUUAUCUCCUUUAUUAAUUUUUUUCGUUAAAUUAGUGACAAAGUUAAAAUUAAAGUGUAUUAAAGUGAAUAUUCGAUAAACUAUAGAUGGGAUAUCUGAAGCUUUUUUGUUGAUUUAACGAAAAGUUAACGAAGGGGCUGACGAAAAAAGAAAAAUAAAACUAUAUGGUACAAAAUUGAUACACUUUAAACCACAGGUACUAAAGUGAGAAAGUGCGAAACCACAUGGGUGGUAUUUGAAAUUUACCCUUAUUUUAACAUGUCUUCAUUUUGACUAGUUUAAUAUGUCUUUAUUUUAUUUCAUUUAAUUAGUAUAUAUUCAUUUAUUUGUUCAAUUACAAAUGGAAGAAUUAGAUAUUUUUUUGUUAGAUUUAUUUUAAGAUUUUUAUAUUGUUGUAGAUGUAGUUUGAAAAUU